rnacentral:misc_RNA from 1 species
GAUGAAGAACGCAGCGAAAUGCGAUAAGUAAUGUGAAUUGCAGAAUUCAGUGAAUCAUCGAAUCUUUGAACGCACAUUGCGCCCCCUGGUAUUCCGGGGGGCAUGCCUGUCCGAGCGUCAUUACAACCCUCAAGCUCAGCUUGGUAUUGGGCCCCGCCGACCCGGCGGGCCCUAAAGUCAGUGGUGGUGCCGUCCGGCUCCGAGCGUAGUAAUUCUUCUCGCUCUGGAGGUCCGGUCGUGUGCUCGCCAGCAACCCCCAAUUUUUUUCAGGUUGACCUCGGAUCAGGUAGGGAUACCCGCUGAACUUAAGCAUAUCAAUAAGCGGAGGA